UACAGAGGUCUCAAGCGUUGUUCGGAUUCAUUGGGCGUAAAGGGUGCGUAGGCGGCGCGGUAAGUCGGGUGUGAAAGCCCCGAGCUUAACUUGGGAAUGGCAUUGGAAACUGGCGGGCUGGAGUGCGGCAGAGGGGGGUGGAAUUCCACGUGUAGCAGUGAAAUGCGUAGAGAUGUGGAGGAACACCGAUGGCGAAGGCAGCCCCCUGGGCCGACACUGACGCCUCAGGCACGAAAGCGUGGGGAGCAAACAGG
rnacentral:rRNA from 1 species